rnacentral:rRNA from 1 species
GACGUAGGGUCCGAGCGUUGUCCGGAAUUAUUGGGCGUAAAGGGCUCGUAGGCGGUCUGUCGCGUCGAUCGUGAAAACUUGGGGCUUAACCCUGAGCUUGCGGUCGAUACGGGCAUGACUGGAGUUCGGCAGGGGAGACUGGAAUUCCUGGUGUAGCGGUGAAAUGCGCAGAUAUCAGGAGGAACACCGGUGGCGAAGGCGGGUCUCUGGGCCGAUACUGACGCUGAGGAGCGAAAGCGUGGGGAGCGAACGG